GACGAACGCUGGCGGCGUGCUUAACACAUGCCAGUCGAACGGAAAGGCCUGCUUUCCCUUGUGGAUUGCGGGUACUCGAGUGGCGAACGGGUGAGUAACACGUGAGUGAUCUGCCCCCAACUUGGGUAUAAGCCUGGGAAACUGGGUCUAAUUCCCGAUAGGACUGCAGGUGGUGCCUGUGGUGGAAAACGAUUUUCUAGUGGUUGGGGAUGAGCUCGCGGCCUAUCAGCUUGUUGGUGGGGUAAUGGCCUACCAAGGCGGCGACGGGUAGCCGGCCUGAGAGGGUGGACGGCCACAUUGGGACUGAGAUACGGCCCAGACUCCUACGGGAGGCAGCAGUGGGGAAUAUUGCACAAUGGGCGGAAGCCUGAUGCAGCGACGCCGCGUGGGGGAUGACGGCCUUCGGGUUGUAAACUCCUUUCGACCGCGAGGAAGCCACCUGGUUGGAAGGGUGGUGACGGUAGUGGUAGAAGAAGCACCGGCUAACUACGUG
rnacentral:rRNA from 1 species